rnacentral:misc_RNA from 1 species
UGCUACUGAUGUUCUUUCCAUGUCACAACAUGUUCCUGAACUCAAGCUUCCAGUUCUUAUGUUGGGGGACAUUGUCAUCUCUGUUGAGACAGCUGCACGACAAGCAGAGGAAAGGGGGCAUGCUCUUAUUGAUGAAAUUCGCAUCCUCCUGGUUCAUGGUUUGCUGCAUCUUUUAGGAUUUGAUCAUGAGAUUAGUGAAGAGGCUGAAGCUGAAAUGGAGAAGGAGGAGGAACUUCUUUUAAAGAGCCUUGGGUGGAAGGGAAAAGGACUAAUUCAGAGUGCAUAUGAUGCUGAGACUAAUAUGAAUCUUCAAACAGAAAAUUUAGAUGACAGGAAGAAAGAAGGCAGUCUUCGAUUCUAUAAACCAAAAUUCAGCUAUAUCUUUUGCGACAUGGAUGGAACAUUGCUGAACAGCAAAAGUCAAAUUUCCUUGACAAAUGCAAAGGCUUUGAAAGAAGCAGUGUCAAGGGGAAUGAAGGUGGUGAUAGCAACUGGAAAAGCUCGACCUGCUGUGAUAAGUAUUUUGGAGAUGGUGGAUUUAGCUGGUAAAGAUGGCAUUAUCUCAGAGUUCUCUCCUGGAGUUUUUUUACAGGGGUUGCUUGUUUAUGGUAGACAGGGUCGGGAAAUUUUUAGAAGCAAUUUAGAUCCAAGUGUUUGCAGAGAGGCAUGCCUCUACUCUUGGGAGCAUAAGGUUCCUCUUAUUGCAUUCAGCAAUGACCGUUGCUUAACACUAUUUGAUCACCCCCUUGUUGAUUCAUUGCAUACCAUAUAUCGUGAGCCAAAGGCAGAGAUCAUGCCUUCAGUUGAGCAUCUCCUGUCUGCUGCUGACAUACAGAAGAUGAUCUUUUUAGGCACUGCUGAGGGUGUGGCUACUUCAUUGCGGCCAUACUGGUCAGAAGCAACAGGGGAUCGUGCCAAUGUUGUCCAAGCUGUUCCAGACAUGCUUGAAAUUGUUCCACGUGGAACCUCAAAGGGCAUUGGAGUAGAACUGCUGCUUGAUCAUUUGGGUGUCACUGCAAAGGAGAUAAUGGCUAUUGGUGAUGGGGAAAAUGACAUUGAGAUGCUUGAGUUGGCCUCUUUAGGCAUUGCUCUUAGCAAUGGAUCCGAGAAGACAAAAGCUGUGGCGGAUAUAAUUGGUGGCAGCAAUGAUGAAGAUGGUGUAGCAGAUGCCAUCUAUCGGUAUGCAUUCUGAGCUUUUACGUUCAAGUGUGAAAUUUUGGGCAAAAACCACAUUACAUGAUAUCUAUGAUUUGGGAUGUAACAUUCCAAUUUUUAUAGCUUAUUGUUCUUUCUGAAGAAUGAUUAGGUGAUCCUACCAAAAUAGGGUAGAGAAUUCUUCUCUUCUUUUUUUAUUGAUUUAAUGAAUAAGUAGGGCAUUACCCAGGGUUGAUCCUGUUGAAGAGGGGUCCCCGAUUGGGUCAUCUGAACUGGAAUUCAGAUUCUGAACACAAUUUAUCUCAUUUCAUUGAAUGUACUAUUUCAACCGGAUAGAGUCUCUUACGAGGCCUUUUGUACACAAAACUGAUGCCAUUGUUAAUAUAUAUAUAUCAAAAUCUCAUAUAUAAAUU